rnacentral:rRNA from 1 species
UACGAAGGGGGCUAGCGUUGCUCGGAAUCACUGGGCGUAAAGCGCACGUAGGCGGAUUGCUAAGUCAGGGGUGAAAUCCUGGAGCUCAACUCCAGAACUGCCUUUGAUACUGGUGAUCUUGAGUCCGGGAGAGGUGAGUGGAACUGCGAGUGUAGAGGUGAAAUUCGUAGAUAUUCGCAAGAACACCAGUGGCGAAGGCGGCUCACUGGACCGGUACUGACGCUGAGGUGCGAAAGCGUGGGGAGCAAACAGG